rnacentral:lncRNA from 13 species
AUGAUUGUAAAUACAUGUGUUAAUAUUGGAUUUAUGUUUAACUUUUUUACUCAGUGGUUGUUUGGUUUUUUUCCCGAAAAAUCUAUAGCAGGAGAAACCAUUGUAUGCAACGUAACACGUACCUGUAAUUAUUCAGUGUUCUAUGUGGGCAAGGUAAAGCUUCGGGCAAGUGAAGAAAAUAAUGCAUCACUAAAUGUAGAAAUAAUUAAUAACAUAACCACCCACACUCAAGUCAGAAAAUUAAUUGAAAUUCCAGCACAUGCCCCACAAGAACUGAGGUAAGUAAUUCUGAAUAAGGAUUGACAUCUUUGUUAUACUUGAAAAAGAUGAAGUGAGACCUUCCGUGUGUUGAGCAGAUUUUGUGUUGUUCCUGCACAUUAAAAAUUUCACAAGUUGUACGUUCUUGCUCCUUAACAUAAGGUUAAUAUUUUUUAGAAUACUCUUAGUUAGUUUAUGUACCACUGGAGUUUCUUUUAAAAAAUGGUACACCAAAUGUUUGUUAUAAUUUAAGGAUUCCAGUCUAUCUGGUAGGAAAUUAAGAAGAGAACUUUCCUAGCUGCAUGUUCUCCAAUAAACAUUCUUGAAGUCAUAGCUAUGACUUUAUUUUGGUGAGUUUUUUCUUUCCCUGUCUUUAUAAGAAGAGGUUUGAAUGAGUGAAUAUUUCCCAAACUUGUCCUGAAAAUCACAAAGAUGUGAUUUUUCAGGACAAAUCUUGUUUGUGGAAGAAAUGCUUUUUUUUUUACUCGUUCUAUUUCUGUGGCUUUGAAUAUAAAUUUAGAAUUCUAUUCUAAGUAAUGCUUGUCAAAAUGCAGCAUUAAGAUUUAUCUUUUGUUCUUUUAAAUAACAUUUACAGUGGGUUGAUGUUCAAAUGUGAUGACAGAGGCUUAAAUUUAGUUUGUGUAGUGACUAAUAAAAGUCAGCUCUUCAAAUGUUUAAUACUUUGAAAUGUGGUUUUACAGUAUUAGAACUGGCCUGACUUCAAAAAAAUCACUUCAAAAAAAUCACUGAUUAACUGGAAAUAUUUUUUGUCUGUAAUUGUUUUUUUUUAUUAAAUUGUUGUAAUUGUUUUUAGAAACAUAACUAAAAAUCCUCCCUAACAGUAACCUUUCAUUUUAAAGCAUUUCAGAGUUCAACAAAACCUUGCGAGCAGUAAGUGAGGUAAGAUUACCAAUUGUUGUUACUGUUUGGAAAACUUUUUUUCAACUUACUUAUGAAAAUGCAUCAUUCCUGAUUUCUCCUUAUAAACCAAUUUUUUUCUAUUUUUGUUUGUCAUUACAGUCCUCUGUUAUGGAAUGCAGUGCAGAAAACCAGAGGUUUGUUUCUAAAUUUUUAAAGAUCAAAUAUUUAAAAGCUCAUAUAUUGUCUUGUGAUCUGUGAAGUGUGCAUGGCUCUGUAACAGAAGAAAAAGACAAACUUUCUAGGAAGUUCAGGAGUUCAAGAAACAGGCUGGAGAAAUAUAUAUAGGUUAACAAAUUCUGAUUUCAUUAUUCUCCUGGCAUUCGUGAUGUUGAAAAAACCGUUUAGAGUUUGUUGGUUUCAUUUAACCCAAAUGUAUUUGAUGUACUUCUCAUCAGUCUUCUGCUGAAGCACAGGCUUUCCUGUCAUAUUUCUUCUGCAUCUUGCUAUUAGCUGAGUCACAUAACUGGGAGCACCAGAAUUACAGAACUUGUGAAUGCAGUGCAAUCUUUAUGAGGGAUUUGCUUGAGACUUCCCAAGUUGCUGUUCUUCAGCUUGAGCAACCAACCAUCCUUGGGGUAGGGAAGCCUGAGGAAAUAACCAGUUCAGAGUCUGGAAACCAUGGGUUAUCAGAAUGGCAAAGCAGUUACGGAGAGGUGAUCCUGGAAGCCCUGAAACAAAAAUAAAAUCUCUCAGUUUAAUUGCUACUCACCAUUAAAUUGUCCUUUAAAAUUAUCAGCUUGGAAACACUGUAUUCUAAAACAAAAUGUGAAACUUUAUUUCCCCAAAUACUUGAAUCUGGACUUUAUCUUCCUAGAUUAGGGUGAAAGAAAAGUCCAAAACACUCAAAUAAUAGAGACAGAAAGUAUUCAGAUCACACCCUCAUGUCAUGUACUGGCAGUUGCUAGGGUAAUCUUUUCAUUAUUAUGUGCUGGAAGGAAGCCUUUUCAUUCAUCUCUGUGUUUGCAUUUUCUGAACAUGAAAAAUUUUUACUGGAGCUUCACUAGUUUGGGCAGGGCUUCAAGUUGUUGAACUGUAGUCGUAAAGGUGGAGUUACAUGGUUGAAUGAGUCACUGAAUUUCUCUCUAAAGUCAAGAAAGAAUGCUGUCUUCCCCAGGUGGUGGAAGUUUCAUAAACACUGGCAUAUUUACACUAGCAGUGGAGAUUACAUUAUUAUCUUUACAAAAUUAUCAACUCUUUAAUGGCCAACAUUGAUUAGGGAGGACCCCAUUUAAGAAUCGCCAUAGUAGAGGUAAGGGACAAGUGCCACAAACUGAUGUAUUAUGCUUCUAAUUAGCCUGGAAUAGGGGUUUAUGUGCAUUAAAAAUAUGCCCAAAUCUGACAGAGCCUAGGAAAAAUGUGCUUUCACACUUAGCAUUUGCGCUAGU